AUGUCCAAUUUCUGACAGUACCAUUGAGAAAGGUUUAUAGAGCAGAGAGAAUCACUCUUGUGAAGAUGGGUUCAGGCUAUUCCGACAACUGACAGCUCCUGCUCAGAGAUAGAACAUUAAAUUGUAAGGCAAUUUAUAGGACAAAAUUCUUGCCUUUUCUAAGUUUGGGCUACUAGCCAAGAAGACAAAUCAAUUCUUGCCGGAUUAAGAAAUUAACUCUCUUUAGUCAAGACUCCUUCAACUCAAGGAUGGCUUCAAUUUGGCUCUCCGCCGUUAUAGUCAUAGCUAUUCUGAAAGGCAUCUAUGGAGCAGACUCAGUGACUCAAACUGACGGCAGCGUUUUCAUCUCUCAAGGGGAUCCGGUGCUUCUUAACUGCACAUAUCAGAUUUCUGGGUUUCCUUACCUCUUCUGGUACGUUCAGGACUCCAACCAGCCCCCCCACCCCAGGCUCUUCCUGAGGGACCCGGGAAGCGAGGACUCGGAUGAAGGGAUCAGAAAAGGGUUCAAUGCCAUCCAUGAGAAAAAGCACAAAUCCUUCCAGCUGUGGAAACCGUCCGGCGAAGUGAGCGACUCCGCGACCUAUUACUGCGCCGGGAAAGACACAGUGACACGGACCGACAGGGGAGCUGAGCAAAAACUGCGCAGGAGUGAUGCAGCACCUCUGAACAGGUCGUCUUUGCUGCGUCUCAGCUUCUUCCUUAUCUGCCGAAGCCGGUCAGCAGGGGUGCGUGGUGUGUUCCUCAAGGUCUCAGCUGCUGUGGACAAUUCACAGAAGAGGGACUGUUACAUUCCAGCAAACAAAUGA